AUCAGGGUUCGAUUCUGGAGAGGCCGCCUGAGAAACGGCGCCCAUUUCUAAGGAAAGCAGCAGGCGCGCAACUUGCCCAAUCCCGACACGGGGAGGCAGCGACAAAAAAUAGCAAUGCAGGACAUUUGUUUUGCAAUUGGAAUGAGAACGACGUAAAUAGCUCUAUCGAGGAUCUACUGGAGGGCAAGUCUGGUGCCAGCAGCCGCGGUAAUUCCAGCUCCAGUGGCGUAUAUCAAAGUUGUUGCAGUUAAAACGCUCGUAGUUGGAUCUCGAGCCGGGAAGCGCGGCGGCCCCGCCGAGACGGUGGGUUGCUUCGUCGCGCACGGUUUUUCCUCCUGGAUGGCUACACUCCCACUUAAUUGGGGGGGUGUAACGGUAUGGGGAGUGCGUCUCUCUGUACUAGUCGCCAGGUCGUGUACUUUGAAGAAAAUGGAGUGCUCAAAGCAGGCGUUAUUGCCUUGAACAACUCAGCAUGGGAUACUAGAAUAGGACUUGGUUCUUAUUUUGGCGGUUUUUAAAAGCCAGGUAAUGGUAAAUAGGGAUAGUUGGGGGCAUUUGUAUUGGGAUGUCAGAGGUGAAAUUCAUGGAUUUUCUCAAGACAAACGACUGCGAAAGCAUUUGCCAAGGAUGUUUUCAUUAAUCAAGAACGAUAGUCAGGGGAUCGAAGAUGAUCAGAUACCAUCGUAGUCCUGACCGUAAACGUUGCCGACCAGGGAUCGUGCGAAUCUUCUAUAUUGGAUCGCGCGGCACCUUUUGAGAAAUCACAAGUUUUUGGGUUCCGGGGGGAGUAUGGUCGCAAGGCUGAAACUUAAAGGAAUUGACGGAGGGGCACCACCAGGAGUGGAGCUUGCGGCUCAAUUUGACCCAACACGGGGAUACUUACCAGGACAAGACAAAAGAAGGAUUGACAGACUGAUGGCUCUUUCUUGAUUUUUUGGUUGGUGGUGCAUGGCCGUUCUUAGUUGGUGUUGUGAAAUGUCUUCUUAAUUGCGAUAACGAACGAGAUCACCGCCUGCAAAUUCGAAUGGGGGUAUGGGUUGGUUUGGCGGGGAGGAGGCAGCUUGCUGCCGAGACCUUGUUGGGCCGGCUCGCUAAGUACUCUUUAUUCUUCUUUGAGGGACCACUGCGCAUUUUAGCCAGAGGAAGUUGGUGGCAAUAACAGGUCUGUGAUGCCCUUAGAUGCCCUGGGCCGCACGCGUGCUACACUGAAUGUCGCAACGAGCAGAACCGCUAGCCCGACAGGGCCGGCUAAUCUGGAAUGACAUUCGUGAUGGGGAUUGCGCCUUGUAAGUGGCGCAUCAACGAGGAAUUCCUUGUAAUCGUGGUUCAUCAAACCGCGCUGAAUACGUCCCUGCCCCUUGUACACACCGCCCGUCGCUCCUACCGAUUGGAUUUUCAAGUAAAGGCUCGGGACGCGAGGGGGGUUUGCGGUUCGGCCGCGCCCCUUUGCGGAACCUGUCUGAACUGGAAAAUUUAGAGGAAGGAGAAGUCGUAACAAGGUA
rnacentral:rRNA from 1 species